rnacentral:lncRNA from 1 species
CCCAAAUAUAUCUUCCAACUUGUAGCUGUAGUACAACAUCUGAAUUAAAUCAUGACUUAUUCUUUCUAUUAAAGCCAUGUUGUCCCUGCCAUUAUCCCCUUUUCCUGUAAAUGAGUACAAUGAAAAAUUGAUUCUAGCUGUAUUGGGCUGCAGCAAAAUAACAAAAGAUGAUUGUUACAUUAUCAAAGUCCUCUCUGCUUCCACAAUAUAGGAAUUGAAAACACCUGUCUUUAUCUUCUCAAUCAAUACUGCACCUGAGUCACAUUUUCCUGGAAAAAGGUGUCCACUGUAUGUUAUUUAGAUUUAACAAAUGCAUUAUUCAGGCCGCCUUCAUUUAUUUUGAUUACUUGAGAUUGCUCUGCCAUCCCUGUGAGUUAAAUGAAGCCUAAUAUUAAAUCCCACACUAGACUAGUAUGUCACUAACAAUAUCAUGUGACUUCUCUUACGUGAAGAAGUAUGACAGCAGAACAAGUGUGCUUCUUAAAAUAUAUGUGGAAAAGUUGUGUUCACAGGGAUAUUUCAUUGCACGCUGUUCUUUCUAAAAGCAGGGCAGAGGGCUCUGGCUAAUGGCUGCAGCAGCAGAAUGGAGUAAUUGGAGGCACGGCUGGGGAGAGCAGUCGUGGACACUGGUGUCUACAUUCCAGAAGAGAGGAGCCAGUGCUGGAUGCCUAAAGCUGUCAGCAGAACUUUUCAGGUACAUGCCAGAAGAACUCCCAGCUGCAGAGUCUGUUGCUGGUGUUUGGGCAGAUCCACAAAGCUGCAAACAGUCGGUGUGUGCCUUAAAUUCAGUGACUCCUGUGAAGUGAAACCCCAGCAAGCUCCACGGUGAUUUGUAGAGGUAAAUACAUAUUUCACGAGUAAGAUGCAAAUGUGCCUGGCGUAGUCCCCCAAAGUGCACACUCCUGCUGCUGUCACUUGUUUGUGUCUAUCCAAUUUUGAAUUAUGUUUGCCUCUCAAAUUUAAUAAUUUUGACAAGUUAAUUUCAGCCUGUUCCUGACAAGGAAAGUAGCUAUGAGGAAUAAAAAAAAAAAAAAAGAGGAGUGAAGUGCUCCG